AACAAAAAAGGAAAAGGCAAUCCCAAAUGCUCAAAUCUUAUGGAGAGCAGUAGAAGAGACAAAAGUUCAAGCUUUGAACUUGCUCCAACAAACUGCAACUAGUCUGAUCUUUAUUUCAUCUCCAUGGAUUUUGCAUUUGAGUAACUUGCUUCUUAAAAAAAGUAAGUCAAUUCUUGAAAAUUCAUUAUUUAUGAUCUAAGCUAGCACUUUCUUGAUUUCAUAUCAUCAAGUCAUCAAUUUAUCCUAUGAUUUGGUAGAUUUCAUUCUGCAGCAUCAAGAUCUCACGAGUCGUAGUAUAAUCAGACCAAAAGGAAAUUUUUUAUCAUACAAAUUAUGGAUCUUACAUGCCGAAGAAUUCCUAGUUGUUGCCGAAUCACUCAUCUUUUAUUUCGACUUUAAUUUCUUUUUAUCAAUUUCAUCUCCAUACCCAACGUUCCAUAAGAUAAACCUCAUGAAGAAGUUAAUACCUUUGUGUAAAUCUUAUUUAUAUUGGUGUGGUCAAUAAAUUGUAGAUCUAGUACUGCAACUAGCUCUUCUCUAUUGCUUGCUUCUUGUGUGUUGCAAGUCCUCUUAAUGAUGACCUAUCAUAUAGAUGACAGUAUGUUACUUACUUUUUCCCCGAUCUUCCAUCCGGUUCUCUUGUGAUGUUGGUGCUAAAUCUUAGAUUAGGUAAAUCAAUUUUGUCUGCAUUUUCUGAUAAUUUUGAAAUUGAAUUGUGCCAACAAAAUCAACAAUGUAGUUAGCUAAAAAUUUCCCCAAUAGGUUCCCUUCUAUAGAUGUGUAUUGGAUUUGACAAUUCCCUCUAGUUCUCUAGUAAUUAAUUCGGUCCACCUCCAUCAUUGUACUCCAAGGUUCAUUUCAUUCAUCAUUAUGUACCUCUUUCAUCAACAAAAUAUCCUUCUCUAUCACCACUGGAAUUUGAAUACUCCUAACUGUGCGCACACACUUGUAGUACUAGGAACAACCCCUGCUUUAGCAUAGAUGAAAUCCCUCGAUAGUUCCUAAUUGUAUAAGCUAUAGAACGUACUAAUACUUUGGUUGACUUUGGAUGCACCAUUUGUAAUACACUUGUACCAUUUUUAGUCUAGUGGUCUCCAUCAAAUAGUUGCAUAGACUACUGUGAAAUUGUAUCGCUCAAAAGAAUCAAUCAGUUCUGUUCAGGUAUGAGGGAUGUUCUUUAUCCAUGAAUAUCUUAUUUUUCCACUCAAUAUAAAUUCAAAUUUAUUUUACACAUCACUUUAUGCCUGGAUCAG
rnacentral:lncRNA from 1 species